rnacentral:rRNA from 1 species
GUGCCAGCAGCCGCGGUAAUACGUAGGGUGCGAGCGUUGUCCGGAAUUACUGGGCGUAAAGAGCUCGUAGGUGGUUUGUCGCGUCGUCUGUGAAAUUCCGGGGCUUAACUCCGGGCGUGCAGGCGAUACGGGCAUAACUUGAGUGCUGUAGGGGAGACUGGAAUUCCUGGUGUAGCGGUGAAAUGCGCAGAUAUCAGGAGGAACACCAAUGGCGAAGGCAGGUCUCUGGGCAGUAACUGACGCUGAGGAGCGAAAGCAUGGGUAGCGAACAGGAUUAGAUACCCUGGUAGUCCAUGCCGUAAACGGUGGGCGCUAGGUGUGGGGGUCUUCCACGACUUCUGUGCCGUAGCUAACGCAUUAAGCGCCCCGCCUGGGGAGUACGGCCGCAAGGCUAAAACUCAAAGGAAUUGACGGGGACCCGCACAAGCGGCGGAGCAUGCGGAUUAAUUCGAUGCAACGCGAAGAACCUUACCAAGGCUUGACAUAUACCGGAAAAGGCUGGAAACAGUCUCCCCCUUGUGGUCGGUAUACAGGUGGUGCAUGGUUGUCGUCAGCUCGUGUCGUGAGAUGUUGGGUUAAGUCCCGCAACGAGCGCAACCCUCGUUCUAUGUUGCCAGCACGUUAUGGUGGGAACUCAUGGGAUACUGCCGGGGUCAACUCGGAGGAAGGUGGGGAUGACGUCAAGUCAUCAUGGCCCUUACGAGUAGGGCUACACACGUGCUACAAUGGCGCAUACAAAGAGAAGCGAGCUCGCGAGGGUAAGCGGACCUCAUAAAGUGCGUCGUAGUCCGGAUUGGAGUCUGCAACUCGACUCCAUGAAGUCGGAAUCGCUAGUAAUCGUAGAUCAGAAUGCUACGGUGAAUACGUUCCCGGGCCUUGUACACACCGCCCGU